UUUACAAGAUCUCUGAGCGUGACGGCAAAACUCCAAAAGC
rnacentral:sRNA from 1 species